AAUGCGAGAAGCAAUCCCAUAAACCGUGGCUCAGUUCAGAUCGUAGGCUGCAACUCGCCUACGUGAAGGAGGAAUCGCUAGUAAUCGCAGGUCAGCAUACUGCGGUGAAUACGUUCCCGGGCCUUGUACACACCGCCCGUCACACCAUGGAAGUUGGCCACGCCCGAAGCCGUUACUCCAACCCUUGUGGAGGAGGACGUCGAAGGUGGGGCUGAUGACUGGGGUGAAGUCGUAACAAGGUAUCCGUACCGGAAGGUGCGGAUGGAUCACCUCCUAA
rnacentral:rRNA from 5 species